CGAACGGGUGAGUAACGCGUGAGGAACCUGCCUCAAAGAGGGGGACAACAGUUGGAAACGACUGCUAAUACCGCAUAAGCCCACGGCUCGGCAUCGAGCAGAGGGAAAAGGAGUGAUCCGCUUUGAGAUGGCCUCGCGUCCGAUUAGCUAGUUGGUGAGGUAACGGCCCACCAAGGCGACGAUCGGUAGCCGGACUGAGAGGUUGAACGGCCACAUUGGGACUGAGACACGGCCCGG
rnacentral:rRNA from 1 species